rnacentral:rRNA from 1 species
UACGAGGGGGCAAGCGUUACUCGGAAUUAUUGGGCGUAAAGGGCGCGUAGGCGGUCCUGUGCGUCGGAGGUGAAAUCCCCGGGCUUAACCCGGGUGCUGCCUCCGAUACGGCUGGACUUGAGUCCGGGAGAGGGGAGCAGAAUUCCCAGUGUAGCGGUGAAAUGCGUAGAUAUUGGGAGGAAUACCAGUGGCGAAGGCGGCUCCCUGGACCGGUACUGACGCUGAGGCGCGAAAGCGUGGGUAGC